UCCCUGGUGGCUCAGAUGGUAAAGAAUCUGCCUACAAUGCAGAAGACCCAGGUUCGACACCUGGGUUGGGGAG
rfam:Ovis aries breed Texel chromosome 4, whole genome shotgun sequence.